rnacentral:rRNA from 1 species
AACGAACGCUGGCGGCAUGCCUAACACAUGCAAGUCGAACGAGACCUUCGGGUCUAGUGGCGCACGGGUGCGUAACGCGUGGGAACCUGCCCUUGGGUUCGGAAUAACUCCCCGUAAGGGGUGCUAAUACCGGAUAAUGUCUUCGGACCAACGAUUUAUCGCCUUUGGAUGGGCCCGGGUUGGAUUAGCUAGUUGGUAGGGUACAAGCCUACCAAGGCGACGAUCCAUAGCUGGUCUGAGAGGAUGAUCAGCCACACUGGGACUGAGACACGGCCCAGACUCCUACGGAGCGGAGCAGUGGGUAAUAUUGUGCAAUGGGGGAAAGUCUAAUCCAGCAAUGCCGCGUGAGUGAUGAAGGCCUUAGGGUUGUAAAGCUCUUUUACCCGAGAUGAGAAUGACAGUACCGGGUGAAUAAGCUCCGGCUAACUCCGUG